CUCUGUGACUCCUACGGGAGGCAGCAGUGGGAAUAUUGCACAAUGGGCGCAAGCCUGAUGCAGCAACGCCGUGUGAGUGAAGAAGGUUUUCGGAUCGUAAAACUCUGUCCUAAGGGAAGAAACAAAUGACGGUACCUUAGGAGGAAGCCCCGGCUAACUACGUGCCAGCAGCCGCGGUAAUACGUAGGGGGCAAGCGUUAUCCGGAAUCACUGGGCGUAAAGGGUGCGUAGGCGGCUUAGCAAGCCAGGGGUGAAAGGCAUUGGCUCAACCAAUGUAAGCCUUUGGAACUGUUAGGCUUGAGUGCAGGAGAGGUAAGUGGAAUUCCUAGUGUAGAGGUGAAAUUCGUAGAUAUUAGGAGGAACACCAGUGGCGAAGGCGACUUACUGGACUGUAACUGACGCUGAUGCACGAAAGCGUGGGUAGCGAACAGGAUUAGAUACCCUGGUAG
rnacentral:rRNA from 1 species